CCUACGGGUGGCAGCAGUGAGGAAUUUUCGACAAUGGACGAGAGUCUGAACCAGCCAAGUAGCGUGGAGGAUGAAUGCCCUAUGGGCUGAAAACUUCGUUUAUAUGGAAAUAAAAUGUUCCACGUGUGGGAUUAUGUAUGUACCAUAUGAAUAAGGAACGGCUAAGUCCGUGCCAUCAGCCGCGGUAAUACGGAGGAGCCGAGCGUUAUCCGGAUUUAUUGGGUUUAAAGGGAGCGUAGGUGGGUUGUUAAGUCAGUUGUGAAAGUUUACGGCUCAACCGUAAAAUUGCAGUUGAAACUGGCAGUCUUGAGUACAGGAGAGGUGGGCGGAAUUCGUGGUGUAGCGGUGAAAUGCUUAGAUAUCACGAAGAACUCCGAUUGCGAAGGCAGCUCACUGGACUGCAACUGACACUGAGGCUCGAAAGUGUGGGUAUCAAACAGGAUUAGAUACCCUUGUAGUC
rnacentral:rRNA from 1 species